UUGGAUUCUGACAGAUGGGUCGCCAGCCGCUGUCAAAGCACCUGACCAAGACUGACAACUGGUGAAUGGAAAACCGGAAUAAGCACUUGGAAGAAGAAAACCGACAACUGAGACAACUUGCCUUUGAUUUGCCUGGCAUAAUGGAUACUUUGAAACCACAAGAGCGCAGCUAAUAGCACUGAAGAAUGAUGGUGGAAGUUCAUCCUGUGUGGGUGUAUUGUGUGCAUCACCUUCUGUCCUGUCUGAAGAGUUGAACUCAUCUCCUUGUCAAGUGUCGUACUCAAGGCCUAAACAGCUGCUACUUUGGCAAAGUUUCCUGGGACUUCAUAAGCUG